rnacentral:rRNA from 1 species
CAAUAGCGUAUAUUUAAGUUGCUGCAGUUAAAAAGCUCGUAGUUGGAUUUCGGGUGGGAAUGGCCGGUCCGCCGUUUCGGUGUGCACUUGCUACGCCCACCUUGCUGCCGGGGACGUGCUCUUGAGUUCACGCUCGGGACACGGAGUCGGCGAGGUUACUUUGAGUAAAUUAGAGUGUUCAAAGCAGGCCUACGCUCUGAAUACAUUAGCAUGGAAUAAUGGAAUAGGACUUUGGUGCUAUUUUGUUGGUUUAUGGGACCGAAGUAAUGAUUAACAGGGACAGUUGGGGCCGUUUAUAUUUCGUUGUCAGAGGUGAAAUUCUUGGAUUUACGAAAGAUAAACUUCUGCGAAAGCAUUCGGCAAGGAUGUUUUCAUUGA